UCGGGUUUGGGGAAACAUUCACUUUGGAUAAAUUAUUAAGUUUCUCUCUCUAACAUCAUUAUAUGUUCUGGUAACAAUUUACUUUUUCUUCCAUUGAUAUUUCCCUCCUUUGGACUACAUUGGUUCUGGUGUUACGCCUUUUCUGUUUUCCAUCUCAACUGUUACUUCAUCAUCGCUUCAACCUUUUCUUUAGAAGUUUCGGUUUUCUCUCUCUCUCUCUUCAUUCAUUUUGGUUUGUAUUCUUUUCUUUUUCUCUUCUUUCUCUCCUUCUCUUUGCCAUCAACCUCGUUUAUCCAUUUACCUGUGCAAAUCCAGAUUCUUGUUUUCACACAACACUCAACACACUAGAAAUGAUAGAGAGAGACAGAGGAGACACACCGAUGAAAGAGACUCCACUUCACUUCCACUCUCUGGCUGUCGCUCUCUCCCUCUCCGUCUCCUUCUCUCUCCCUCUCCGUCUCCUUCUCUCUCUCUCUCUCUCCCUUAUUACUAUUACCUUUACUUAUUGUGCUAUCAAUGAGCAUCUUCCUCAUCAUUUUAAAUCAUCGGCCUCAUCGGUGUAAUGUUUAUCUUUUUAUUAUCUAUCAGGCUCUUUCUCACCGCAACAACUGUUAUAAUUCAAGAGUAUAUAGACAAGAAGAGGAUGACGAUUGACGAUUAUGAUGAUGACAGAAACUAACCAAAGGAGCAGCAGCAACACCACGACCACUUAAUGGCUGUCAAGCACGUAAUUGUGUUCACCAAAUUGGCACCUUUAGAUUUUCACACUUAAGAUGAUGGUUUCUAUCACAAAGAGAGAAUGAAAAAAAAAACAGAAAACUAGGAGGAAGAUGAGAGAUCCCGAUUACGCUCCAUAGGAAAGAUGGUAAAAAAAGAGAAAAGCGAAAGCGAAAUGAAGGUGAUAUUAAAAGAGAAGAACAUCCAACAGAGACUAUAAAGAAAAAGAACCGAUCAAUUUUAACCUCAACGUUCUCAUUUACAUUCGGCAACAACUUCUCCAACCAAAGGCCUUUGUUAGAUGUUCGUGAUACGCGUGUUUCCAUCAUCAGCAACUGUACAUUUGAAAUUCUAUUUUCAGGCUCAACUUUCGCCUUUAAUCAUCAAUCCUCUCCAUCAUCAUCUUCUCCCCCACUCUCGCUUAAAUUAAUAAUUAGUUAUCUAUUUCUUUCCUAGAGAUUCAUCUGUCUACACGGAUAAUCACCUUAGGAAUAUUUAAAAACAACACAAUCGGAAAGUUCAUCCAUAUGAAGAGCUAAACAAUUGUUAAUCUUAAAUUGAUGACCAACAAGAUGAUGAUAAUAAUGGAGAGAUGAAGAUGAUUAUUCUCAUGGUUUUCACUCAAAUCAAUUGAAACCAAUUCCACUAAUCCAAUGGUCGCUGUUAAUCAUGACUACAAUUUAAUUGAUUGUGUUCAUCUCUCAUCUUUAAAAGAGCUUGAAUUUUCAAGUAUCUCUCGCUUUUUAAUUGUUAAUAGAUCAACUCAAUUCUUUCCAAUGGUUAUAUUUACCUUCUCAUAAGCCUUAUGUUGCUUACCUGUUGUAUCGCCACAGUAGUUGUAGUAGGAGAGAUAGAGAAUGGGAAACGGAGCGGAGACCGAAAAGAUGAUAUUAGACUCUGGCGAUGAUGACGAUGAUUGAGAAGAAAAUAAUAAGAUGGAAAAUGUUGGAGAAAAAAAGAGAAAAGCUCAAGGAAUUGACCAAAUUAGAACAUUAUUUUCUUCUUCUUUUCAAGUGGAAAAGGAAACAACAAGUUAACAAGAAACUUAAAGUAAUGAAGAGCAAAAAAUCAAAUUUGGAAAAAGAAAUAGUGUAACCACUCCCGUGAUCUCGGUUCCGUAUGGGGUCUACACCUUUAGGCUACACAACAUUUCAAGAGAAUCGAGAGUUUCAAAGGAAGAGAAUAUCUUUUUUUUCAUUAAAAAGGAGCAAAGAUGACGAUGGAAAAGUUCAAUUUGCUACAACGAAAAGAAAGAAUUGAGAGGAAAAGAGAAAAAGAAUAAUAAAAAAGUCAACAUGGUGAGGAAGAAGAUAAAAAGACAACAAUUGAACAUGGAGAUGGAGGAUAAAGAAACUACUGAAAAAGAUCAAGAGAUGAGAUGGAUUUAGAUUACUCUCUCUCUCUAUUUCAUGGAUAACGCUAUCACUUGGGGAUUACUUGUAUAUCUUUUAUCCAUCCAUAGCUCAUCAAUCCUACAUCCUUCACUAAUUUCGGACACAUUCAAGCUUGGAUUUAGUGGGAAUGAUAUUGAUGGAGAAAAAAAAAGAAAGAGAGAAACUCAGCUGAGAGAUGAAAUGAAAACGAUGAUAGAUAUAAUAAUUCUGUAAACAUGUAAACCGAAUAAUAUAUUCCCAUUGUCUUUAGAUGUCUCGGUUUAACUUUUUUGCAUAAGAUUCACAACAUAAGCUUUUCAUUCAAUUCCCAUGAACUGUUUUCCAUCAACCAUAAUCUUGUCUCUCACUACACAAAAUUUAUCUUCUUCAUCCAAAAACGAUGCUUUUAAUGUUAUAUUUAUCUGUCUUUUUUUGUGACUAUUAUUGUUGUCAUACUAAUUUUGUUAAGCCCGAAUUCAAAUCCUAAUCCUUAGGAUAAGUCACCAAGCAGAUAAACAAACAAACAACAAAAGUUAUUUUGAUUUGUAUCAUGUAACAUCACAUAUGUUUCAUAUUUAACUGAUGAUUUGUUUUCAGGUUAAAUGAAUCGCUCCAUGAAAAUAAUGAUGAAAUCUGAUGACCAAAUAAUAAUAUGACAAAAAUUACAUAUCUACCUGUUAUUUUGCAUGAAUGACAUUAAAUUAUUUUCUCAUUUCCUGGUUAUAUUUUGAUGAUGAUGAUUUGUAAGAAUCAAAGUUAACAACAGUUACUGAGAGAUUUUGAAAUUCAAUCUCAUUUGUUUACCAAAUGUACAGAAGCAAAAAAAAAACUUAAACACUCAAACUGAACUGAAUUCAAUAUUGAAUCUGGAUCAAAUGUCAACGAAUCAUUUACCUUGCAGAUGAUUUUUCUUGUUACCUUUGUAUUGUGUAACUUAUGCAACUUUAACAGUUAGUUUUCAGGUAAAUAAACACAUACAAUCAUGUCCCAAGAAUUGAUUUGAAUGAGAUUAACUCGUGGAUCAGCAAAUAGAUGAACAAGACAUUGAUGAUCAUCAAUAAUUAAAGCGUUUCCAAUGAGAUAUCAAUAGAUUGGAUGAGAAAACAAACACAAAGGUAACUAUUGAUACAACAGGUAAAUUGUUGAUCCCUUUAAAUUAUCAUCAUGAUUGUUGAAAGAGUUAAAUCAAAUUUGAUUGUUGAUAACAAUCUAACUAAAAGCAUAUCACUUUUAAUUCAAUUUAAAUGCAACUUUUUCCUUCUCAAUUUAAUCCCUUUGAAUACACAGAAAGGGAGACUGAGAGAUGAAUUUAUUUAUAUUUUAUCAUGAUUAUCAUUCAAUUAAUCUAAUCACAAUAGGUAAAUUCAACUAAUGGUGUAAACCUAAUAAUAUACAUACAUGUAAUUGGAAUGGAGAAGAUAAAGAAAUGGAUUACACAUUAAAGAUUAGCUUUUAUCAUCAUCCUCAUCAUCAUUUUGUUCAUCAAUUGUUAUCUACCUUUGAAAACAACAACGAUUACAAUGAACAAGAGGAAUCGGAUUGGAAUCAACCAGGCAAAAGUUUAUUAUGAUAAUAUAAUAACAAUGAGAAGGCUCAACUAUUACAAUCUAAAAGAAGUUCGAUUGAGCGGAUUAAUGGUUAAGCUUAACCAGGUUGUUUCCAUCAAGAACAAUAUUAAUCCUUGAUUACCGUUACCAAUUUUUUCCUUCAUCUUAUUUAGUAUUUAGAUUCAAGUUGAAAUAUAAUAACAUGAAAAAAAAGGGUAAGUAUCCUGGUGAUGUAUUAACCGUUAGAGUGUAAGUAUUAUAUUCAUAUUGAGAUUAAUAUGAUUAUAUGAACAAUUUUAAUAAGUUUACUUAUUAAAUAUCUUCUCCCUCUUUUAUUAUUUAUCUUCUUUGUCUCUCUCUCUUUUCGGAUCUUCUUCUCAUAUGUUCCA